UACGAGGGGGGCAAGCGUUGUUCGGAAUUAUUGGGCGUAAAGAGCGUGUAGGCGGCCAGGCAGGUCCGCUGUGAAAACUCGAGGCUCAACCUCGAGAGGUCGGUGGAAACCGUCUGGCUAGAGUCCGGAAGAGGAGAGUGGAAUUCCCGGUGUAGCGGUGAAAUGCGCAGAUAUCGGGAAGAACACCCGUGGCGAAGGCGGCUCUCUGGGACGGUACUGACGCUGAGACGCGAAAGCGUGGGGAGCGAACAGG
rnacentral:rRNA from 1 species